AUAUACAUUAAAACUGUAUUUAAAUUUUGGCUAUUUUUGCUUUGUUAUGUGGAAUCUUGUUUGGCUAUUCACUUUGCACAACGCUGCAUCGCCCGUCACCGCCUCUCGUCUUCUUCCUCACACUUUAAGCCUCUUUUGAUUCUCUCCUCUAAGGAUGCAUAAGAGGCUGUGCAGGUUCUAAUCAGGUUAUUUUGAUUAGUUGUUUAUAGGAGUAUACAUUUUUUUUUGACAUAGUUUACAGAAGUAUGCAUGUUUAUAGAAGUAUUGGUGAAAAGUAGGUUAGUAUAGAUGUGAUUUAUGGCUUUGGCUUGGACUUGCUUGUAGUUGGGUGAUAUGUAAGUUCGUUUUACUUGUUUUGUUUUAUUGGUUAAUGCUUAUAAGAUGCAUAUGUUGGGAUGUGGCAAUAAGAAGGAACUAAUUAAGCUUUUACAUAUAUAAAGUUAAAUCAUUGUGGAAAA